AGAGCAGUUUCUCAGGGUUACCUGGGAUGCCGUCUCCCAGGCUUAAGUCCGAAUUUUGCCCCAAAUAAAACCUAUCUCUCAACUUUCAGGUUGUGCAUAUUUUUUAAAGUCAACAGUGAUGGCGACCGAGACACAAGGGACCCAGAGCAGAUUUCUCGCCUGAACUCUCGGAGGACAUGGAGCCUUGGUACCAGCAGAGGGCCCCGGUGCCCAUCCAUCUCCUCCUCGCCGGGAGUCCAGGCGAAUUGGGUCCAGACCAAGCCAAGUCAAACACAGACAGAUGGAGCAAUUACAUCGAAUCUCAUUCGUGUACAAUUAAAGACAUCGAGAGAGAUGGCCAGAACACGCUACACAUUACGGCUGCUUUUAACUGGAACGAGAACUUGGUUCAUAAUACGUCAAACCUUCAAACAUGACUUGGCGGGGUGGCGGUGGCAAUCGAAACAAAAAUACGACAGUGUUUAGGAUUGCAGGUUACAUGCUGACCAGUAAGAUCACUACAGAAUUUGUAGUGUAGUUAAUAAGAGUUAAAUCCUAUUCUUCCCAUCACCCAAUGCAUUCAUUCUUACGUGUGUUUGUGCAAACAUGGGCAUAUGAAGUCACGUCUAAUUUAAAGGAGUAGGAGGAGGAGGAGGAACGAAAUGCUGACGACAUGGAAACAGGGAAGAGAGGAUUCAGGGGUUUUCCAUACAGCUGGAAAGCAGAGGUGUGUGGUGACACUGGGGUCAGAGGUGGGAAAGACAGAAGAAAUUGGAGAGAUACGCAGUGCUGUCCAGCAGGGUCUGGAAGCCACGAUAAGGAAUUUGGACUUCAUCCUAAGAGCAAUGGAGGACCUUUGGGACUUGGUCCUAAGAGCCAUGGACACCUCUGAGGGAUUUUAAAUAGAGAAGUGACAACAGUUCUGCAUCCCAGAGAGAGACUGUGGCCUGCACUGCGGAGCAGAGGGCGAGAGACGGGAGCUGGGGAGAACCGUUGAGAGUGUUCCAGUAAAUCUUCCUCGUCUCUCAUUCCUGAGGGAAAUCACAGGAAUGGAAGCCCAGUUGGGUUUCUUCUGAGAAGGCAGAUAAACCAAGACGUCUAAGACAUGAUUGGCCACUUAAAAAGACACCCAGCAAAAUAGAAGCUGUAUGGAGCUACCUCUUCGGUCACUUUUCUUAAAAACUCCACUUCAAACUUUGAAUAAUACAGUGUGUCUAAAAAUAUGAUGAGCUCGAUUUCAAACUAGACAGAUUCUCUUGGCAGCUUAGCUUCAGGCGGCUCCCUGCUUUUUUUGCUCUUCUGGCGUCGGAGUCUAACCUCACUCAGGGUGCCAGACCCGGGCAUCCUGAAAGCCAUGUCUGGGGCACUUCUGCCCUCCAUGGUCCGUGCCGGGAAGACUGGCUUCCGAGCUGGAUUGGCAGCAGCACCAACCACGCUGACCCAUCCGCCUCAACACUAAAGGCAGUGCGGACACGCAAGAUGGAAAGUGCCUGGUCAAGAGAGGGAUGUGGCAGGUUUAGAAAAUUUAAGGCUGGAGCGCCUUCAGAAGGGGUGGUUGGCUUGUGCGCCGUCUUUCCCUGGGUGUUCAUCCAGCCGUUGCUGAACGGCCACUGUGUGUACAUCGCGCGCCACGAGGAGCAGAAGACAAAUGGAAGAACCACGCCUACGGCUCUACAAGUUUUCACAGACACGCAGGAAAGUCACCUAAUAAGACUGUGCGCAAAACGGGGGCUCAGUGAAGAGCCGUCUAGAGUCGGAGAGGGGAGGACAGGUGCCUUUCCGGGAGGAGCGGGCAUGAGGGAAAACGGCGCAAUUACGGCGGCGGCGAGCUCUAGAGGCAGGGGACGGCGACGCAACCGCAACCCGAGCGAAAAUUCAGAGGCGUGAGGGUAUGUAGCAGGUUCCAGGCUCUCUGACGGAGCCGGAGCGGGAACAAGCGACAGAAGACGGCCCUGGAAAGGAAGGACGGGGCCAGGGUGUGAAGAAUUGUGCAUUUCCUGCCAAGGAGUUUUUUUAAUGCAGUGCACUGGCAGUGGGGCCUUAUCGAAGGUUUUAAGGUGCAGAGUGCUAUUCACCUCAUAACAUAAACAUUUUUUUAAAUUAGAGAUGAUUUUUAAGUAAAAAGUGAAAAUAAAAGAGAAAAAGAUGACAAAAUGAGGCUGUUCUUGCAUCAGCCUUGAACGUCUGUUUUACAGCCAGGAAGCUUUCCAGUCAAUGCGGUGCCACUUGCCGGCAAAGGGGGCAGCGACGGCCACUGGGUAAAGGAACGAAAUCUCAGGGGUCUUUCUGGGGCCCUGAGGCUUGGGAGCAAGCAGCUUAAGGAGCCACAGAAGUCAGGAGACACAGGGAGACGCCGGCCCCAAGAGCUCUCCCUGGCCGCAGAGACGGGGCCGGUGUAAGACAGCAGUCUGGGCCAUCUCGGCACCUCCUCCCGGUCACUGCGGUCCCGCCUCUGGAUCUCCAGACCCACAGAGUUCCCAGGGAUCACCCUCUCCAGCCGCUCCCCAUCCUCCCUGGAAUCUGGACAAGGAGCCACAGUCAGAAAGUCAGUGACCUCCUCAAAUUCAUCAGUCCAGCAGAAUAAGAACCAGGAGCCACGUGAGGCCUUUGCCAAACUCCAGACGUGUCUACAUGAACCUAUGGGGUCUCCUUUCCCCUCUUAACUUCAGCUGACUUCUGGGGUUCAACACCAUGGCAACACUGUCCACACCCCUCUUCCUGUGAAGCCAGACUUCUGUGACCAGGGUCCCCUGCAAAGGAACAGGGAGGGAAGCAAGAGUCUAGGCCAGGUAAGGAACUAGGUUACCGGCAGGUUAGUUGUCAGGAUACAGGGUGGCAAGUUAAGAAACAAAGAAGCAAAAUGACCAGUGGUGGGCAGUUGGGUCUAGGGACCUGCUCUGCGGAGGUCUGCAUUAAUUACGGGCACACACUUGGCCAAAUGCAUUGGCCAUCAGCCCCUAUGGCAAGAGGAGGGUGGGAGGCUAGACAGAGGCUCGCAGACUUUGGUUGGUUGUGAACAUGGAUGGGUGUCCACCUCUAAUUUCAAGCAGGCACUGAUCUUUUAUGCUAAAAAUUUUAAACUCUCUCCCCCUUUUCUCUCGUUUUUUUGAGCUACUAUUCAGCUGCUGAGCUGGAUUGAAAUCACCUCUCUGAUGACUGAAGCAUGGAGGGAGAAGCUGGGUCCCCAAGAGAAUGCAACUGCCAGAGAGAGAGCACAGGACCAAGCCCAGCAGACCUGGGCUGCAGACGGAGGGCGGCCCUGCUGCAGCCACAGCAGACCGCACACGACCUAGGGACGGAAGCAGAUUCUGUCACGAAGGGCAGGGGAAGGCCACUGUACACGAAGGCUGUCCUGUGAGCAGCUGCCUAAGCCACGUCCAGGUCUCAGAAAUGGGGGCACAGGCAGGAAGGGGCGGCCGGUGAAGAUGGGAUCCAUGUAGACAAGAGGAGGAGCAAACCGACUGCACCGGACGACUCCCUUGUCCACCCUGGCCAAGGCCACCGUUCGUCCUGCGGCAGGGAACAACUCUGGGUUCACGCCAAGACCGCUUCCUCAUCCGCCUGAGCUCAGAGCCAGUUCCAUUUGCUGCGGAGGGCGCCCAGGCCACGUGAGGGGACCCAGCCGACCUCCCUGCUCUGGCCUCUCCCGCCUCUUUUACCACUAAAAAUCCUGUUGUCCCCCCACCCCGGCCCCGCCCCAUGAGCUUUCUUCUAAAAUGUGCCACAGGAUUUUCAAGUGUGUUUUCAUUUGUAAUCUGAGUGUUCCUACUGCUAGGAAAGUUAACUUCACUUUUCUUCCAGCAGUUUCUGGAAGGAGGCAUGGUGGCUUCUAUCAGGAAAGCCCAUCCCGUGUGCUCCAUUCUCUCCCAGCCACUCCCCACGCUGCUGCCCACCUCCUCUGGGUCACGACUCUGUUCAGACCGGGGUGGGAGGGACCCAGCCUGUCCCUCUGGAGGGCACGCCCUUCCCGGGGAAGGGGUAGGUGGGGAGAAGCCGGCUCAGGGGAGCACAGGCCAGAUGAGCCCUGCCUUCUCCAUCUUUAUACUCAGGGAUUUUUCUCUCAGGACACACGGAGCAUGUGCCUUCAAUCUGAUUUCCUUUGUGGGGCUCGGUCCAGCAGAACUAUCUGCAUAUACACUAGUUUCAAAUGUCCCUACAGAGUUCCUGCUCUGCCAGGUGCGUCAGGAGAUGUGGCUGGACGUUGUUCUCAGGGGCAGUUAAGAACUGUCAAUGUUCCACGGCAGUUAGGAGGCGAGGUCGCCGGGAGCGCUGCAGCUGACCUCUGGGUCAGAGGUCAUAAGCGCUAAGGCUCCCCAGCUCUACCCUUUCACAUGCACAUAACAAACCACUUGUAAUUUUUCAUUUCCAAGGAUGUGUUCGGUCCUGUUCAGAAUACAACUCCCUCUUCCCACACACACCCCUACGUUAAAGAAUUCUGGGUAUUUGCUAUGCCCACACUUGGACCGGGCAGACCUCAAAAUGGGUUCCCAGAGUGCACAAGCACAAGGGGGCAGCACUCUUGUGCUAAAGGGGCUGAGAUGCUGGCACAGGGCCAGCAGGGAAAGGUCAUGAGCAAAGAGGGAAGUUGCUGGACAGGGAUCAGGAACCCAGGCAAAGCUCACGAAGGCGACAGAGUUCCUUCAUACCUGGAUAUGAGCAAGAAGACCAAGUGAUUUUUUUAUUUUUUUUGCAAGGGCUAUGGAUCUGCAGUUUUCCUUUUGUGCCAUUUUUGUCUAGGUUAACGCUAGCAUCAUAAAAGGAGUGGGGAAGUGCUCCUUUAGCUUCCAGUUUUUGGAGAAGAUUGUGGAAAAGUGGUGUUACAUCUUCACGCACUUGGUUGAAUUCUGCCAUGAAAUCAUCAAGACCUGGAGAUUUCUUUUUUUCGGGUGUUUUUAAUAUUAUGAAUCCAAGUUCUCCAGGCCGGGGAUCAAACUCGUUCCUUAGCAGCGACACUGUUGGAUCCUUGACCUUCUGCACCAUAGCAGGAACUCCUAGUUUUACUUUUUUUUUUUAGGAACUUCCAAACUGUUUUCCGUAGUGGCUGCACCAAUUUUCAGUCCCGCUAAUAGUUCACAGGGUUUUCUUUUCUCCACAUCUUCACCAGCACUGGUUAUUUUUUACCUUUUUGAUGGUGGCUGUUCGAACAGGUGUGAGGUGGUAUCUCAUUGCAUUUCCCUGAUGAUUAGUGGUGCUGAGCAUCUUUUCAUGUGCCUGUCAACCAUGUGUCUUCUUCGGAAAAUGUCUAUUCAGUUCCUCUGCCCAUGUGUUUGUUGGAUUGUUUGUUGUUGUUGCUGUCAUUGAGCUGUGUCAGUUCUUUAUAUAUGAUUGGCAAAUAUUUUCUUUAGUCGGUUGUCUUUUUCCUUGAUGGCAGAUAUAACAUUAAAAAUAUUAAAAGGGGAGUUCCCGUCGUGGCGCAGUGGUUAACGAAUCCGACUAGGAACCAUGAGGUUGCGGGUUCGGUCCCUGCCCUUGCUCAGUGGGUUAACGAUCCGGCGUUGCCGUAAGCUGUGGUGUAGGUUGCAGACACGGCUUGGAUCCCGCGUUGCUGUGGCUCUGGCGUAGGCCGGAGACUACAGCUCCGAUUGGACCCCUAGCCUGGGAACCUCCAUAUGCCGCGGGAGCGGCCCAAGAAAUAGCAAAAAGACAAAAAAAAAAAAAAA
rnacentral:lncRNA from 1 species